rnacentral:rRNA from 1 species
GGAGUCUGGGCCGUGUCUCAGUCCCAAUGUGGCCGUUCAACCUCUCAGUCCGGCUACCGAUCGCGGUCUUGGUGAGCCGUUACCUCACCAACUAACUAAUCGGACGCGAGUCCAUCUCCGAGCGAUAAAUCUUUGAUAUAUCUGUCAUGCGGCAGUUAUAUGUUAUGCGGUAUUAGCGUUCUUUUCAGAACGUUAUUCCCCUCUCAGAGGCAGGUUACUCACGCGUUACUCACCCGUCCGCCACUAAGUUAAGAAGCAAGCUCCUUAACUCCGUUCGACUUGCAUGUGUUAGGCACGCCGCCAGCGUUCGUCCUGAGCCACGGAGUCAAACUACU